rnacentral:sRNA from 1 species
AUUUGCGACCUAUGGUGCGGAGCGCGGAAACGCCCCGGCGCUUACUAACAUUGAAUAGCGUAGGACACCUAAGGGUCGCUAUUUU